UUUUUUUUUGGGCUUUCUUGUUAAAUUACGUGAUUUCUCGUCCUUUUUCAUUUGUGCCUCUCCUUCCUUUUCACCAGAAUCAAAUUAGGGUUUUUUCUACUUCAUCUGGCUAGUGCCCUAAGAUUUAGUGAUUGAGUUUGGGUCUGAGUAGAGAUCUAACGUAGCUCGUAUCCUUCUUCGUCAUCACCAUCCUCUGUUCUGCUUCGUUCGUUCACCAUGUUCUGGAAGUUGACUGCUCUCUCUGCUGCUUCCCCGGUCGAAUCCAUAUUAGACAAGGAGACUUCACUUUGGAAGAACUCCUGGAUGAGGAAGACAUUAUCCAAGAAUGCAGAGCUUUUAACAGCCGUCUCAUUAAUUUGUAAUUCUUUAAGGCGUCCUCUCCUUGUAGUUAUCUGUAUAUCUUGUUUGUACUAUGACAUGUCUCUCUCUAUAUAUAUGAAUCCUUCCUGAUAAGAUUGAAGAGGAUACACAAGCCAGCAGAUAUUGCACACAAAAAAAAAAAGAUAGAAUCACUUCACCGUACCUUAUGUUUUCCUUGCAGGACCACCCUGGUAUACAAUGGGAGUUUUAGUUUCUCUUAGUAGUAGAAAGGGUUCGGAUGUUGGCCUUUUAUGCUUUUAUUUUAUAUAUGCUCAUCUGCAAUUUGAGAGAAAGUGUCCAAGUGGAACAGUUAUUACGUUUUGUUGUUGAAGAAUCUCCAGAAGAUGCUGAUAGCAAGCGUGCCUUCAAGUUUCCUUUCAUCUCCUCUGAAGUCUUGACUUGUGAGAUCGAUGUGAUUCUUAAGACUUUAGUGGAAGAGGAGGAGCACGAGACUCUCUCCACCUGAGCAAUCCCAUCCGCCGGCGAUCAUCUCUUUUUCGAUCAUCUCUUUUCCGACCAUCUCUUCCGACCCUCAGCCUUGUUCCGCCGGCCAAGUCUAUCCCUCUCACGGUUUUCCGGCCAGUUCCUCCACCUCUCUCUCAACCAGCUCAUCCGCGGAUCAGCUCUCUCUCACGGUGGUCCAUUCAGAUCAAUUUGGUGUUUUCUAAAAGGUAAACUAAUCUAUCCAUAAAAUCUAAGAACACCACAUAUCUGAAUCCUGAUUAUUAGAUCUAUUUGAAUCAUAAAACUUAUAAAAAUCUAUAGAUCUAAAAUUAUCACAAAUAUUAAUCUUGAAUUUAAGAUCUAUAUGAAUUUUGAUUCUAAAAUUAUUUGAAUCUCUAAAGAUCUAAGAAUCUUUAAAAACUUAUAAAACUUAUUAAUAAUCUAAGAUCUAUAUGAAUCUUGUUUCUAAGAACUAUUUGAAAUUAUAAAAGAUAUUAGAGAAAAUCAUAAACCCCUUUUAGCUAGCAAGCCUUAAAAUCGGUUCCCCUUUCUCCUAUUUUGAUCCGGCCUUAAAUCCGGAUUGACUAAAGAAUUGAAACCCAUAAUCUUUGUUUGGCCGUAUUACCGGCUGUAUAGCCGGAUGAAUAAGCUGGCCAUCAAAAUCUUAAUCCCAUUCGAUGUGCUUACCGAUCCAAAUCGGCCCUUAUCCACAUCAAAAUCUCAAACCCCCUUGUUUGUUUUAUAACCGGAUAUGUAUCUUGAUGGCCAUUAUACAUAUCAAUUCCCUAAAUCCUUUUUGCUUGAUUUUUAUCAAUCCCCUAAACUCUAAGCAAUAAUCGGCUGAACCCCUAAAUCCAAAUCCGACCAUCAUUUUUUUUCCGGCCAUGACCUUUUCCGGCCACAAUCUUUUCAGCCAUAAUCUUUCAGUCAAACCCAAAGAUAUCAAAAUUUAAAUCCUAAUCAAUGCAUAUCUUUGACCAUUGAUGUUUUAUAUUGUAACUGAUCAAAAUUUAAAACUUUUAUGAUUGUUUUCAAUGCAUAUCUUUGACUAGGUAGUAUUUAUCAAAAUAUUAUAACAUAUAGUCUUGAUUUAAAUAGUUAUGACAUAGGCUAAAAUAAAUACUAAGUUGAAAUCAUUUGAUCACAUAGUUGUUUGUCAAAAUUUAUCUAAAUCUAAACCGGCCUUGAAAUCGGUUCAUUAUAGUUUGAACAAAUGAUAUAAAUUUAUCUUGAUCUAAAAACCAACUUUGAAAACUGAUUUUGUGGUGAUUGAAUUAUAUACUGAUCAUAUAUAUAUACCUGAUAGCAAAUAGAUUAUAUGAUUUGGGGGAAAGCCUUAUUGAAAUCAUAUACAUUGAUUUAUUCUAUUGCUUACAUAGAAAUUCUGAGUGCUUGAAUUACUCGUUAAAUAUUCAGAUGUCGAGAUUUGAACCCUUAGAUUACUCUGCCUAAAUCUCUCUGGAGAUAAUUACCUAGAAUUGGUAAAGAAUACUCUUGUUGCCCUGAGAUCCAGAGGACUCGGACAAUGCAUCAAUGAGUACAAUGAUAUCAUUGACAGUGAAAGACAUAGAGCUACGUAGCAACUGACCCGAACCGAGUCGGUUGCUAUGUAGAGACUGACCAAGCCAUUUGUUUGGUCGCUACGUAGCGACCGAUCCAUCACGGACCCGGUCGCUACGUAGCGACCAAACUGUCUCGGACAUCGAUCAACGGGUACGACCCAAAUCCGUGCAUUCUUGUCUGUUCCUCAAUGCUAGCUCUAUGUACCGCAGUCAUAUCAUUUCUUACUCCCAUCGAUUGGAGUUAACAUUUAAACUUUACGAUAAAAAUCACGGAAAGUUCAUUCUUAUCGAUAAAAAUCGUGAUAAACGUUUCAAAUUGAAAGACGGACCAAAUAUGUCUAAAACACGAUUAGAAACCCACAUACGAUUUUUUAAGGAAAAGCCCAUAGAUACUAUGGCGGUUUUUACUUAGUCAACAAGAAAUGAUAAAUGUCAAGAUUCCGCAGAUAAAUGUUAAGUUUCCGCGGAUAAUCAUGAAAAUCGGGAAAAAUGGAAUAUCUCCAUUUUCGAGUUAUGACGGCUUAAGGGCAGGAAGGAAAAAGCUCAAACCGACCUUGGAGGGAGUAUAUAAGGAGUCCUAGGCGAGAGACACAAAGAGA